rnacentral:rRNA from 1 species
UGGGGAAUAUUGCACAAUGGGCGAAAGCCUGAUGCAGCGACGCCGCGUGCGGGAUGAAGGCCUUCGGGUUGUAAACCGCUUUUAAUUGGGAGCAAGCGAGAGUGAGUGUACCUUUUGAAUAAGCACCGGCUAACUACGUGCCAGCAGCCGCGGUAAUACGUAGGGUGCAAGCGUUAUCCGGAAUUAUUGGGCGUAAAGAGCUCGUAGGCGGUUUGUCACGCCUGGUGUGAAAGUCCAUCGCUUAACGGUGGAUCUGCGCCGGGUACGGGCAGGCUAGAGUGCAGUGGGGGAGAUUGGAAUUCCCGGUGUAACGGUGGAAUGUGUAGAUAUCGGGAAGAACACCAAUGGCGAAGGCAGAUCUCUGGGCUGUUACUGACGCUGAGGAGCGAAAGCAUGGGGAGCGAACAGGAUUAGAUACCCUGGUAGUCCAUGCCGUAAACGGUGGAUGCUGGAUGUGGGACCCUUCC